GAUGAACGCUGGCGGCGUGCCUAAUACAUGCAAGUCGAGCGAACGGACGAGAAGCUUGCUUUUCUGAUGUUAGCGGCGGACGGGUGAGUAACACGUGGAUAACCUACCUAUAAGACUGGGAUAACUUCGGGAAACCGGAGCUAAUACCGGAUAAUAUUUUGAACCGCAUGGUUCAAAAGUGAAAGACGGUCUUGCUGUCACUUAUAGAUGGAUCCGCGCUGCAUUAGCUAGUUGGUAAGGUAACGGCUUACCAAGGCAACGAUGCAUAGCCGACCUGAGAGGGUGAUCGGGCACACUGGAACUGAGACACGGUCCAGACUCCUACCGGAGGCAACAGUAGGGAAUCUUCCCGCAUGGGCCGAAAGCCUGGACGGACCACGCCCCCCUGAGUGAUGAAAGGCCUCGGAUCGUAAAACUCUGUUUUUUAGGAAAAACAUAUGUGUAAAGUAACUGUGGCCCUCCUUGACCGCACCCCAUCCGAAAACCCACGGGUAAAUUCCUGCCCACCCCCCCCGGUAAAACCUAAGGUGGGAAGGGUUAUCCCGGAAUUUUUUGGGCUUAAGCGCCCCGAGGCGGUUUUUUAAGUCUGAUGUGAAAGCCCACGGCUCAACCGUGGAGGGUCAUUGGAAACUGGAAAACUUGAGUGCAGAAGAGGAAAGUGGAAUUCCAUGUGUAGCGGUGAAAUGCGCAGAGAUGUGGAGGAACACCAGUGGCGAAGGCGACUUUCUGGUCUGUAACUGACGCUGAUGUGCGAAAGCGUGGGGAUCAAACAGGAUUAGAUACCCUGGUAGUCCGCGCCGUAAACGAUGAGUGCUAAGUGUUAGGGGGUUUCCGCCCCUUAGUGCUGCAGCUAACGCAUUAAGCACUCCGCCUGGGGAGUACGACCGCAAGGUUGAAACUCAAAGGAAUUGACGGGGGCCCGCACAAGCGGUGGAGCAUGUGGUUUAAUUCGAAGCAACGCGAAGAACCUUACCAAAUCUUGACAUCCUUUGACAACUCUAGAGAUAGAGCCUUCCCCUUCGGGGGACAAAGUGACAGGUGGUGCAUGGUUGUCGUCAGCUCGUGUCGUGAGAUGUUGGGUUAAGUCCCGCAACGAGCGCAACCCUUAAGCUUAGUUGCCAUCAUUAAGUUGGGCACUCUAAGUUGACUGCCGGUGACAAACCGGAGGAAGGUGGGGAUGACGUCAAAUCAUCAUGCCCCUUAUGAUUUGGGCUACACACGUGCUACAAUGGACAAUACAAAGGGCAGCGAAACCGCGAGGUCAAGCAAAUCCCAUAAAGUUGUUCUCAGUUCGGAUUGUAGUCUGCAACUCGACUACAUGAAGCUGGAAUCGCUAGUAAUCGUAGAUCAGCAUGCUACGGUGAAUACGUUCCCGGGUCU
rnacentral:rRNA from 1 species